AACUCAAAGGAAUUGACGGGGGCCCGCACAAGCGGAGGAACAUGUGGUUUAAUUCGAUGAUACGCGAGGAACCUUACCCGGGCUUGAAAUGCAUCUGACCGGCCUUGAAAGAGGUUUUCCCUUCGGGGCAGAUGUGUAGGUGCUGCAUGGUUGUCGUCAGCUCGUGCCGUGAGGUGUCGGCUUAAGUCCGUAACGAGCGCAACCCUUGUCCUUAGUUACCAGCACGUUAUGGUGGGCACUCUAAGGAGACUGCCGGUGACAAACCGGAGGAAGGUGGGGAUGACGUCAAGUCAUCAUGGCCCUUACGGCCUGGGCUACACACGUGCUACAAUGGUCGGUACAAAGGGUUGCCAAGCCGCGAGGUGGAGCUAAUCCCAUAAAACCGAUCGUAGUCCGGAUCGCAGUCUGCAACUCGACUGCGUGAAGUCGGAAUCGCUAGUAAUCGUGAAUCAGAAUGUCACGGUGAAUACGUUCCCGGGCCUU
rnacentral:rRNA from 1 species